ACAGCCACAUCGCAUUUAAGCACCAACUCCAGUACGAUCAUCAAAGUUAAGUAAUGUCGAGCCUGGUCAGUACCUAGAUGGGUGACUGCUUGGGAAUACUAGGUGCUGUAAG